AGCUCAUCACAUUGCUCUGGGCCAGUGGACAACUAAAUUUGGCAAAGACAUUGAGGUGCAUCUCUCCAACAACUUAUGUACCUGGAUGCACAUGUCUAUAUUUCUGAUUUGACCCAAAAACUUUUAUAUUGCUUAUUUAACACUUUGCCCAAUUGUUGCAGGGUUUCCCUCAUCAAACUACUGUAAAUUAUUGUGGCAUCUUAUUGUUGAUGGUAAAUUGCUUUUUAGUCUCUGAUUAAAGGUUUUUGGUUUUUUUUUAUUAUCUGAAAAUGAUAUAACCUCACAGAUCUUUGCCUUUUACACUUUACAGUAUGCACUCAGCCUGAGCACAGAGGCUCCAUUUUGGUUCAUUAUUGUUCUUCUCACAUAGGAGCAAGUAUAAGAGGAACUUAAAUCCACCCUAACAUAACAUUGACUUUGGUUAAUUGUUUACAAUUUCCAGAAGUCUAACUAAGCAUGAUCUAUAAAGUACUUUGCACUACAGUAUUAACCACACAUCAAAGAACUGUUUGUGGGACUAUUUAACAUGGCUCUAUAACUUUUUGUACUCUGCUGUAAUUGACAUGCCAAUGGUUUGCAGACAAAUAGUGAUUUGUGACUGAACAUGAACAUUCCUCCUCAACUUAAAUAUUCUAUUUCUUUUAGAGGGACAUGGCACGCAUCCGAAAAUGGUGGUGCAUUAGUCUAAUGGAACGGUUCCAGAUUGACGGCCAUGGACAGAGGUUUGCAUACUGGACUAAUGAGGCCAGAGCAUUGCUCCAAGGUUCACUGCAGCCGAUAUACAGGGUCCCAAAGGUCAGCAAGAGGGAACAUGAGGUUUCGAUUAGAAAAGGAUGACAGGUGCAUCAUAUUGGAGUUACCAACAUGUGUGCUUUCUGUAAUCCUAAAUGAAGUGGUACUACAGGAAGGAGAUAAGGCAUACUUAAGAUUGGCUCUUGUGUGUCCACUGACUCCUUCAGGAGACGGGCACAUUUUCAGUGGCUUGACAGUAAGUGUUUAAAUAAAGGGUGCUGUGGUAUACAAUACUUGAGUACCUCACGUGUGUUUUCACUAACCUUAUGGAAAUGUUCACUUUUGAUUGAUAAUUUGUUUUUCACAGGUGUCGCUACAUGGAGCAGUCCUAAAGAAAAUAAUUCUACACCAUGUACUCCGUGGACACCUGUCGUGAAUGUGGAAUGCUUUUCAAAAACUGCACACCUGGAUAUGUUAGAACAGGACAAAGGUGUGUACUUGAAGCAGUUUACUCAGAAGACCCACAUCCAGGUUACUGCGAUCACUUUUGCCGCCAAAUGCAAUAGUGAGAACGGACACGUAUACUAACUGUUGGCAGACAACCCUGAGCCAGCUGGGUGUUUUUCAAGCUGCAGGCCCCCGUGAAAAUUUGUGGCUGGAAACUUGGGAUUGAAUUUUGAAUUCUCCAGUGUUUUUACAGACUGUUAAUUAAUUGGUUAUGACAAAAAAGAGAUGUCAUAUGUUUAAACAACCUUUGGGUGAACUUUUUGUAUAAUUUUAAAAAUGUUAAAACUAACAUCUAUUGAGAGUCUACUUUAUGCUUUUUUGGUUUUAAUAACAUCCUGUUCAAUGUGGAAUAAAAUUCAAAUCCUCUGAA